rnacentral:antisense_RNA from 1 species
UACUUUUUGGAGGGUCUUCUAAAACCUUGCUAUAAUAUGAGAGGAUCUUGAUUUUCUAGAACUAAGUAAAAGAUAACAUGCUGCUCCAUUUUCUUAAAUGAUGAAGGGAUGGCUUUCCUAACAUGGAACACUUAGCAGAUGACUACCAUUAUACCUAAAUAUAAAAGAUGAUAUAAAACCAAGGAAAAUAACCUAAAGUCUGAAAAAGACCAGAAUCGAAGUUUCCUGAUUCAUAUUUUAAUGUUUUGAAAUUUAUACUCCAGGCUGGGUGCAGUGGCUUGUGCCUGUAAUCCCAGCACUUUGGGAGGCCGAGGCGGCCGGAUUGCCUGAAGUCAGAAGUUCAAGACCAGCCUGACCAACACGGUGAAACCCUGUCUCUACUUAAAAAUACGAAAGAGCUGGGCAUGGAGGUGGUGCGCGCCUGUAACCCUAGCUACUCGGGAGGCUGAGGCCUAAGAAUCUCUUGAACCCAGGAGGCAGAGGUUGUAGUGAGCCGGGAUCACGCCACUGCACUCUAGCCUGGGCGACAGAGAGAGAGACUGUCUUAAAAAAAAAAAAAAAAAAAAAGGAAAAGAAAAAAAUUUAUACGCCAAAA